CCUACGGGAGGCAGCAGUGAGGCAUAUUGGUCAAUGGACGAGAGUCUGAACCAGCCAAGUAGCGUGAAGGAUGAAUGCCCUAUGGGCUGUAAACUUCUUUUAUAAAGGAAUAAAACGAGGCACGUGUGCCUUAUUGCAUGUACUUUAUGAAUAAGGAUCGGCUAACUCCGUGCCAGCAGCCGCGGUAAUACGGAGGAUCCGAGCGUUAUCCGGAUUUAUUGGGUUGAAAGGGGGCGUAGAUGGGUUGUUAAGUCAGUUGUGAAAGUUUGCGGCUCAACCGUAAAAUUGCAAUUGAUACUGGCAGUCUUGAGUACAGUUGAGGUAGGCGGAAUUCGUGGUGUAGCGGUGAAAUGCUUAGAUAUCACGAAGAACCCCGAUUGCGAAGGCAGCUUACUAAACUGUGACUGACAUUGAUGCUCGAAAGUGUGGGUAUCAAACAGGAUUAGAUACCCUUGUAGUC
rnacentral:rRNA from 1 species